AUACAUGCAAGUCGAACGAACUCUGGUAUUGAUUGGUGCUUGCAUCAUGAUUUACAUUUGAGUGAGUGGCGAACUGGUGAGUAACACGUGGGAAACCUGCCCAGAAGCGGGGGAUAACACCUGGAAACAGAUGCUAAUACCGCAUAACAACUUGGACCGCAUGGUCCGAGUUUGAAAGAUGGCUUCGGCUAUCACUUUUGGAUGGUCCCGCGGCGUAUUAGCUAGAUGGUGGGGUAACGGCUCACCAUGGCAAUGAUACGUAGCCGACCUGAGAGGGUAAUCGGCCACAUUGGGACUGAGACACGGCCCAAACUCCUACGGGAGGCAGCAGUAGGGAAUCUUCCACAAUGGACGAAAGUCUGAUGGAGCAACGCCGCGUGAGUGAAGAAGGGUUUCGGCUCGUAAAACUCUGUUGUUAAAGAAGAACAUAUCUGAGAGUAACUGUUCAGGUAUUGACGGUAUUUAACCAGAAAGCCACGGCUAACUACGUGCCAGCAGCCGCGGUAAUACGUAGGUGGCAAGCGUUGUCCGGAUUUAUUGGGCGUAAAGCGAGCGCAGGCGGUUUUUUAAGUCUGAUGUGAAAGCCUUCGGCUCAACCGAAGAAGUGCAUCGGAAACUGGGAAACUUGAGUGCAGAAGAGGACAGUGGAACUCCAUGUGUAGCGGUGAAAUGCGUAGAUAUAUGGAAGAACACCAGUGGCGAAGGCGGCUGUCUGGUCUGUAACUGACGCUGAGGCUCGAAAGUAU
rnacentral:rRNA from 1 species